GAGUUUGAUCCUGGCUCAAGAUGAACGCUGGCGGCGUGCUUAACACAUGCAAGUCGAACGAAGAAGUUUUAGUUUACUAGAACAACUGAGUGGCGGACGGGUGAGUAACGCGUGGGUAACCUGCCCUAUGGAGGGGGACAACAGUGGGAAACCGCUGCUAAUACCGCAUAGCUUAUUAAGACUGCAUGGUCAUAAUAAGAAAGAGCUAUCGCCAUAGGAUGGGCCCGCGUCUGAUUAGCCAGUUGGUAGGGUAAAAGCCUACCAAAGCAACGAUCAGUAGCCGGCCUGAGAGGGUGAACGGCCACAUUGGGACUGAGACACGGCCCAGACUCCUACGGGAGGCAGCAGUGGGGGAUAUUGCACAAUGGGGGGAACCCUGAUGCAGCAACGCCGCGUGAGUGAAGAAGUAUUUCGGUAUGUAAAGCUCUAUCAGCAGGGAAGAUGAUGACGGUACCUGCAUAAGAAGCCCCGGCUAACUACGUGCCAGCAGCCGCGGUAAUACGUAGGGGGCAAGCGUUAUCCGGAUUUACUGGGUGUAAAGGGAGUGUANGCGGUACGGCAAGUCUGAUGUGAAAACCCUAAGCUCAACUAAGGGAGUGCAUUGGAAACUGUCGGACUANAGUGUGGGAGAGGCAGGCGGAAUUCCUAGUGUAGCGGUGAAAUGCGUAGAUAUUAGGAGGAACACCAGUGGCGAAAG
rnacentral:rRNA from 1 species